UCACGAAAGUGGAUUGUACUAGAAGUCUGCGUGCUAACCGCAAGGAGGCAGCGGCCCAAGGUAUGAUUCAUGAUUGGGGUGAAGUCGUAACAAGGUACCC
rnacentral:rRNA from 1 species